rnacentral:rRNA from 1 species
AGGAUGAACGCUGGCGGUGUGCCUAAUACAUGCAAGUCGAACGAGAUCUUCGGAUCUAGUGGCGGACGGGUGAGUAACACGUUGGUACCUACCCCUAAGUGGGGAAUAACUGCCCGAAAGGGUGGCUAAUACCGCAUAAUCCCGCAAGGGUAAAGCAGUAAUGCGCUUAGGGAGGGGCCUGCGUCUGAUUAGCUAGUUGGUAGGGUAAUGGCCUACCAAGGCGACGAUCAGUAGCUGGAUCGAGAGGUUGACCAGCCACACUGGGACUGAGAUACGGCCCAGACUCCUACGGGAGGCAGCAGUAAGGAAUCUUCCACAAUGGACGAAAGUCUGAUGGAGCAACACCGCGUGCAGGAUGACGGUCUUCGGAUUGUAAACUGCUUUUAUAUGGGAAGAUUAUGACGGUACCACAUGAAUAAGGACCGGCUAACUACGCGCCAGCAGCCGC